UCGAGAAUCUUCCGCAAUGGGCGCAAGCCUGACGGAGCAAUGCCGCGUGCAGGAUGAAGGCCUUCGGGUUGUAAACUGCUGUCACAGGGGAUGAACGCAAUGACAGUACCCUGGGAGGAAGCCACGGCUAACUACGUGCCAGCAGCCGCGGUAAUACGUAGGUGGCGAGCGUUGUUCGGAUUUAUUGGGCGUAAAGGGUUCGUAGGAGGCAUUAUAAGUUCGAUGUGAAAUCCCGUGGCUCAACUGCGGAACUGCAUUGAAAACUGUAGUGCUUGAGUGCCAUAGAGGAGAGCGGAAUUCCUGGUGUAGCGGUGGAAUGCGUAGAUAUCAGGAAGAACACCGAAAGCGAAGGCAGCUCUCUGGGUGGCAACUGACUCUGAAGAACGAAAGCGUGGGGAGC
rnacentral:rRNA from 1 species